UUGGCGAACGGGUGAGUAACGCGUGAGUAACCUGCCCUGGAGUGGGGGACGAACAGUUGGAAACGACUGCUAAUACCGCAUAAGCCCACGGAUCCGCAUGGAUCUGCGGGAAAAGGAUUUAUUUGCUUCAGGAUGGACUCGCGUCCAAUUGGCUAGUUGGUGAGGUAACGGCCCACCAAGGCGACGAUUGGUAGCCGGACUGAGAGGUUGGACGGCCACAUUGGGACUGAGACACGGCCCAGACUCCUACGGGAGGCAGCAUG
rnacentral:rRNA from 1 species